UGGGACACUUUAAUUCUUUUAGAAACAGUGUUCCUUCUUCUAUGUUUGGUCUGAGAAUAUUGAAGCUUUCCUGCAGUCCAUCUGAUUUAAGAAUUUUCUCAAAGCCUAGAGAUUACCACAUGUGGUGACAAUUUCCCAGCUUCUUACAGUGGCAAUGAAACCAAACUCUUCCCCUUGUCCACAGUUGUCAUGAAUCUUGGAAAACUUUCCUGAGUGUAUAUAAAAAAUAAUAAUUAAAAUGGACUGUGUCUAAACUAUAGAAAACAGUCCAGGGAAACUGUAGCAAAGAGUGGUUUAUAAUAGGCAGAAGUAACCAAAACAAGUAAUGAACCUGUCAUCCUGUGCCUGAGGUCUGUGGGGUCAUGCUUUUCCAUUCACAGAUUUUUAUCAAUUUCAUAAGAAUUGUGCUCUAAUGCUCAAUAACCAGCACAAUUCUGCCUUUCAUGCCAGUGUAGGCAGGGGCUGCGUGUUGUCCAGAGCUGUGCACUGUCUGGAUGGAGAGGUGAGGUGAGUGAUGCUGAAUGAGCCCUCCUGCAGGUCACCUCCUACGUGGUCUGUCCUGGAAGACAAACCUUCAUUUCUUCAACUUGUAAAGGGCAGAUCUCCACCCUUCUCCCAGUUGGGAGCCCACAAAUUCAUCGAUGAAGUUUCUCCAGUAAUUUUUCCAUGGUCUGUUUGGAAGGAGCAGAUGAAUAGCCAAAGAGGUGUUAUGAGUGAACCCUUUUAAGCAGGAAGUUUCAGAGCUGGUGAACCGAUUGCACUUGAAUGUUUAUGUUACUGCCAAGACACCAAGACACUAUGCUCUGCUUAUCGAAACUGCUACUUUGGAUGCUAAAGGACUAGAAGAGUUGUAUCUGCAGUCCUCCCAUAGGGAGGAGCAGACCAGACAGAUGGAAAAUUUGGCAAACCAAAGUGUUCCAUACUAUAUUUAAUUCGGGGAUCUGGUGGCAAUUACGGAAACAUGGUGGGACAGCUCACAUGACUGGAGUGUGGUCAUGGAUAACUGUCCUUUUUAGGAAAGGCAGGUCAACAAGGCAAGGUGGUGGAGUUUUCUUUCACCUGGAGGGGAGUUCAGUACACCUGGAAUUGACUGCCCCAGGGUUUGGAAACACGGCUCAACCAUUUGCCAUGGACUGAUCUACGCUGCACUGGAGAAGGGUGGAGCUCCAGAACACCUGCAGUACAUCGGUGACAUCAUCGUGUGGGGUGACACGCCAGAAGAAGUCUUUGAGAAAUGUAAAAAAAUCAUCCAAAUUCUUCUGGAUGCUGGUUUUGCUGUAAGAAGAAGCAAGGUCCUACACAAGAGAUUCUGCUCCCAGGAAUUAGAUGGCAAGAUGGACAUUGCCAGAUCCCAAUGAUUGACAAAAUAACAGCUAUGGCCCCAUCAACUAACAAAAAGCCCUCUCAAACCUUUUUAGGGACUGUUGGUUUCUGGAAAAUGCACAUUCCAUGUUACAGUGAAAUUGUGAAACCUCUCUGUGAGGUGAUCCAAGAGAAGAGUGACUUUAAAUGGGAUCCUGACCAACAGAAAGCUUUUGAGCAGAUUAAAAAGGAGAUUGUGCAGGCAAUGGCCCUUGGACCGGUUUGAACAGGGCCAGACAUCAAACAUGUGCUCUACACCCCAGCCAGAGACAACAGUCCCAAGUGGAGCCUCUGGCAGAAAAUACCAGGGGAGACUCAAGGUCAGCCGCUGGGAUUCUGGAGCUGGAGCUACAGAGGUUCUGAGGCCAACUGCAUGUCAACUGAAAAGGAGAACCAAAGAAGAGGACUUUUUCAGUAUGUUAGUAGAAAAGGGAAGACUAGGGAGAAUGUAGGCCCACUGAUGAAUGAACUGGGUGCCCUAGUGGUGGAAGACACGGAGAAGGUUGAGUUAGGGAAUGUCUUCUUUGCUUCAGUCUUCACUGCUAAAACCAUCCUUCAUGAAUCCCAGACUGUGGAGGUAAGGGGAAUGAUCUGGAAAGAGAAAGACUUCCCUUCAGUAGAUGAGAACUGGGUUAGAGAUUGCUUGGCCUGACUGGACAUCCCUAAGUCCAUGGGCCUUGAUGGGAUGCACCUGAGUGUGCUGAGAGAACUGGCAGAUGUUAUUGCUGGGCCACUCUCCAUUAUCUUUAAACAGUCAUGGAGAACAAGAGAGGUGCCUGGGGACUGGAGGAAGGCCAGCAUCACUUCAGUCUUCAAGAAGGACAAGAAAGAUGACCCAGGAAACCACGGGCCGGUGAGUCUCAUCUCCAUCCCUGGUAAGGUGUUGGAACAAAUUGUUCUGGACAUCAUCUCAAAACAUGUUGAAAAGCAGACUGUUAUUGGGAGUGGUCAACAUGGAUUUACCAAGGGAAAAUCAUACUCAAUGACUGUUAGCUUUCUAUGAGGUCACACCUGCUUGGUCGAAUGAGGGGACAGCAGCAGAUGUCAUCUACCUUGACUUCAGCAAGGCUUUUUACACUGCCUCCCAUAACAUCCUCAUUAGGAGACUCAGGAAGAGUGGGCUGGACGAGUGGACAGCGAGAUGGAUGGAGAGCUGGCUGAGUGACAGAGCUCCGAGGGUUGUGAUCAGUGGUGCAGGGUCGAGUUGGAAGCCUGUAGACAGUGGUGUCCCCCAGGGGUCAGUACUCAGCCAAGUCUUGUUCAUCAUACAACCUGCACAAGGGGACAAAGUGUAUCCUCAGCAAGUUCACUGAUGACACAAAACUGGGAGGGGUGCCUGACACUCCAGAGGGCUGUGCUGAGGUCCAGCAUGACCUGAAUAAGCUGGAGAGCUGGACAGAGAAGAACUUAAUGAGAUUUAACAAGAGUAAAUAUAAAGUUCUACACAUGGGGUGGAAAAGCCUUGUGCAUCAGUAUCGGUUAGGGGCUGACAUACUCAAAAAGAGCUCUGAGGAGAUGGAUACGGAAGUCCUGGCAGACAGUAAGUUAGCAAUGAGCCAGCAUUGUGCCCUUGUGUCCAAGUAGGUCAAUGGUAUCUUGGGAUGCAUGAGGAAGAGUGUGGCUAGUAGGUCAAAGGAGGUCAUCCUCCUCCUUAAUUCUGCCGUAGUGAAGCCACAUCUGGAAUACAGUGUUCAUUUCUGGGCUCCCCAGUUCAAGAGAGACAGGGAACUGCUGGAGAGAUUCCAGUGGAGGGCAGCAAAGAUGACUGGGGGACUGGAGCAUCUCCUUUAUGAGGAAAAGCUGCAAGAGCUGUCACUCUUCAGGGUGGAGAGGAGAAGAUGGAGAGGAGACCUGAUUAACAUCUAUAAAUAUCUAAAGGGCAAGUGUAAGGAUGGAGAUAGACUCUUGUCAGUAGGGGUCAGCAAUAAGACAAGGGUCAAUGAGCAUAACCUGGAGCACAGGAAGUUCCAUCUGAACAUGAGGGAAAACUUCUUUAUGGAGAGGGUGACAAGGCACUGGAACAGGCUGCUCAGGGAGGUCGUGGACUCUCCUUCUCUGGAGACAUUCAAGACCCACCUGGAUGCAGCCAUAUGUAAUGUACUCUAGGCAAUCCUGCUUUAGCAGGGGAGUUGGACAAGGUCAUCUCUAGAGGUCCCUUUCAACUCCAAUGAUUCUGUGAUUCUGUGCAAUUAUGUGACCCAACAAACACGCUGAGUUAACGUCUGGCAAGUUCAAACAAGGCAGUAGAUGGCCAAACACCCCAGUCCUGAGGGUUCUACCUUGAAGCCUUUUUACAGCUCAAAGCCACAAGAAACACACCACAUACCUUAGAGAGGCAGGAGACAGGCACAUGUCCACAUCCCUGGUUCAGACUCCUCUGGGGGAGAGUUGCCAACCAGAUGAAUCGCCAGCAGCUCAACUGCCCCCACAAGGAGAGAACAAUGAUAUCCAGUGGUUUCUGUACAAAUCCAGCUCCUCUGCCCUCCUCAAUUGCCCUUUAGACGCUUUGCUUGUGCACAUUCAGAGGAAAAGUAACUGGGUGGUGACAUUUUGUAGGUGUUGUGGCACCAAAAUCAAGGCUGAUUUUGAAGGAGUCAGGGCUGUAUUUGGGGGUAUCCCAUUGAAGAAAAACUGAGGACAUGUCCUUUCCAAGGAUGUCACCACCUCGCCAUGUCCCAGCCAGAAGCAGCUGGCCAAGACCUGCAGCAGCACCAACACCUUGGGAAGGAUUCCACCUGAAGGGCUCUUGCUCACCUGGAAGGCAAAUGCAGAGGGACACAACUUGGAGAAAGCUCAUCAUGAACUGGGGUCAUUUUUGUGUUUGUGGGACACAGCUGGCAGAAGGUGAAGGAAUUUGAGAGACCAAGGAGGGGACAACUCCUGCCCUUCGAGAUCUGUAAAAAUAAACUGGGGAGAAAGGUGAAGCGUAAACUAGGAUUUAGGUGCCUAGAAGGGGCAGCAGUAGGAGAAGUCAGCUUGUCUGAGGAGUGUCCCAAACACAUCCCCAUGUCUUUGCAGCCCACAAAGCAAAUUUUUUGAGGAACCGAAGCAUGGUGUUGGAACCUGUGCUGGCCAAGAGCUCAAGAGGAAGGCAGAGUACUGAAUUCCAGCAGUUUGGUUUUGGUUUAAUUUGGUUUGUGUGGUUUUUUGGUUUGGUUUUGGUUUGUUUUUUUUUUGUUUGCAUGUUCCCUGAAGAAAAAUAGCUUGAAGCACUCCAGGAAACAGAAUCCCUCUAUUUCAGUGUACCAUCUCACCCCCUGAUUAUAUUUCAUCCCAAAGACGAGGGAUUAGCUCAUGUGGUAAUCAUUUCCUAGCUUCUUUCAGGCUCUUUUGCCCCUAAAUGUCAUUCCCACAUUCUUCAGAUCUUUACUUUUCUCUGCUUGAGUUUCUUACCUUCUCAUUCCUCUGUAAUAUAAAACUUUAAAGAGCAGCAAAUUACAGUGCACGCAUAAAGUCUCAUUUUUUCCCUGAAAGGGGCAUGUUACAGGUCAACAGCUGCAGCCUUUCCUUUCUCUGAAGUAUUUAUUCUGAAGAUAAGAAAGCACUUUAAAUAUUACACUAAGUGGUGGAAAAGGAGCAAGAACUUACCUUGAAGCAGCCUCAGAACAAGCAGCUAAACCGUUGGUUCACUCCUGUCCCUCGAGAAACCUUUGCCUGAUCCCUCAGGAAUCCCACUGCAAUAUAUACCAAAUCAUAUAUCUGCCCCACCUCAUAAAACAGGAACUCACAGGAAGUGGGAGUUUCCUCUGGUGUUCUGGGGAAAUUUCUUCAUGCCUUCCCAGGAAUGGGGUGAGAUUAGCUACUUGCUGUUUCCUCAGCAUUUCUCCCAAAUUUGCUGACUUGCAGCAUCAUGUGCCAAAAUCAGACACCUGUGCUGGGUGAUUUUUAUUUCCGUUUCCUCAUUCUUCACGGAGCAGUGCUGCUACUGCAGGCCCCUAAUCCCCAGGCCACAUGUUGCAAGUCUGACCCUAGAUAUGUCUAAACACUCAGGGUUCAGCUUCUCUGGUCUAGGAAAUGCUCCCUCCUGGAGAACAGUUAAUUGCACUGGACUUCAGUCCUUGAGCUCUGCCCUCUGGGUCUGAUCCUGCUACUUUUUGUCAGGGCAAGAGCUGGGCCAUUGAAAGCAGGUCUCAAGGUAUCCGAGCAACAGGAUUCCAUGAGUCUAGCUAAAACAACAUUUGAUGGACAUUUCUGAAGAAGAACAGAAAAAUGCUGAGCUUGAUGCCCAGGCAAUCCUUGUUGGACCUCAGCUUUGAACAGAGUGAAGGGUCAGGCCAUGGCUGGAGUGCUGCUGCUCACAAAAAGUUCUUUACAGAGAAAGGAAAAGGACAGGAGGUCAGCAUCAAGUUUCCUCUUUCUUCCUAAAGGACUUAAACUGUCCUCAGUGAAAGAGGAAGCAGCCAAAGCAGACACCAGCUUAGGUAACACAGUAAUUACCCAGCUGUGACAUCAAGAAUGCAAUGGAAACAGAGUUUGAGAUUUCAAAAAGCCAGAUGGAGAAAUCCCACGCAGAGCAAUUUGCCAGCCUGGGAUGGCAGAAGGUUUUCCCAUGUAACUGGCAUCAAGAAAAGCUACCCUGGGUUAACUCUUAGAGUGGACCUCCAAAACUGUGUACAGUCCUUCUGUGGGCACUUUUCCUUCAGUUCAAAUGGAAGUGUUUCUUCUGUGUUGAGUACAAAGGCAGUCUAAGCUGACAGCUCAGACACAGAUGUCUGACUUUCAGGUACAUAAAGCCUUGUGCAACAAA